rnacentral:rRNA from 1 species
UACGUAGGGUGCAAGCGUUGCCCGGAUUUAUUGGGCGUAAAGGGCGCGUAGGCGGUCACGCACGUCCGUUGUGAAAUCGCUCGGCGUCAACUGGGCGGGUCAGCGGAUACGGUGUGGCUGGAGCAAGCGUAGGGGGCAAUGGAAUUCCCGGUGUAGUGGUGGAAUGCGUAGAUAUCGGGAAGAACACCCGUGGCGAAGGCGGUUCUCUGGGACGGUACUGACGCUGAGGCGCGAAAGCUAGGGGAGCGAACGGG